GAUGAACGCUGGCGGCGUGCCUAAUACAUGCAAGUCGAGCGAACGGACGAGAAGCUUGCUUCUCUGAUGUUAGCGGCGGACGGGUGAGUAACACGUGGAUAACCUACCUAUAAGACUGGGAUAACUUCGGGAAACCGGAGCUAAUACCGGAUAAUAUUUUGAACCGCAUGGUUCAAAAGUAAAAGACGGUCUUGCUGUCACUUAUAGAUGGAUCCGCGCUGCAUUAGCUAGUUGGUAAGGUAACGGCUUACCAAGGCAACGAUGCAUAGCCGACCUGAGAGAGUGAUCGGCCACACUGGAACUGAGACACGGUCAAGACUCCUACGGGAGGCAGCAGUAGGGAAUCUUCCGCAAUGGGCGAAAACCUGACGGAGCAACGCCGCGUGAGUGGUGAAGGUCUUCGGAUCGUAAAACUCUGUCAUUAGGGAAGAACAUAUGUGUAAGUAGCUGUGCACAUCUUGACGGUACCUAAUCAGAAAGCCACGGCUAACUACGUG
rnacentral:rRNA from 1 species